rnacentral:lncRNA from 1 species
UAGGUAAAAGAAGAGUCAAAUAGAAGGGUGGGUUUCAAAUCAAAAUCAGUUUAAUCAAUGUCCGAAUAAACCUUGGAGCUUCAUAAUAUACCAAAAACACCUGCAUGGGAUUUACAUCUCCGGUUGUAACUAUAGCCAUGACAACAACCAAUGUUCAGCUGAUUAAAGAAAGCAUCGUGUCAAUGAUUGGAGAUUGUAG